rnacentral:rRNA from 1 species
CACGUAGGGCGCAAGCGUUGUCCGGAAUUAUUGGGCGUAAAGAGCUCGUAGGCGGUCUGUUGCGUCCGCUGUGAAAACCCGGGGCUUAACCCUGGGCUGGCAGUGGAUACGGACAGACUAGAGGUAGGUAGGGGAGAAUGGAAUUCCCGGUGUAGCGGUGAAAUGCGCAGAUAUCGGGAGGAACACCGGUGGCGAAGGCGGUUCUCUGGGCCGAUACUGACGCUGAGGAGCGAAAGCGUGGGGAGCGAACAGG